rnacentral:rRNA from 1 species
UUAAGCGACUAAGCGUACACGGUGGAUGCCCUGGCAGUCAGAGGCGAUGAAGGACGUGCUAAUCUGCGAAAAGCGUCGGUAAGGUGAUAUGAACCGUUACAGCCGGCGAUGUCCGAAUGGGGAAACCCAGUGCAAUUCGUUGCACUAUCGUUAACUGAAUACAUAGGUUAACGAGGCGAACCGGGGGAACUGAAACAUCUAAGUACCCCGAGGAAAAGAAAUCAACCGAGAUUCCCCCAGUAGCGGCGAGCGAACGGGGAGCAGCCCAGAGUCUGAAUCAGCUUGUGUGUUAGUGGAACGGUCUGGAAAGUCCGACGGUACAGGGUGAUAGUCCCGUACACCAAAAUGCACAGGCUGUGAACUCGAAGAGUAGGGCGGGACACGUGGUAUCCUGUCUGAAUAUGGGGGGACCAUCCUCCAAGGCUAAAUACUCCUGACUGACCGAUAGUGAACCAGUACCGUGAGGGAAAGGCGAAAAGAACCCCGGCGAGGGGAGUGAAAAAGAACCUGAAACCGUGUACGUACAAGCAGUGGGAGCACCUUCGGGUGUGACUGCGUACCUUUUGUAUAAUGGGUCAGCGACUUAUAUUCUGUAGCAAGGUUAACCGUAUAGGGGAGCCGCAGGGAAACCGAGUCUUAACUGGGCGUUAAGUUGCAGGGUAUAGACCCGAAACCCGGUGAUCUAGCCAUGGGCAGGUUGAAGGUUGGGUAACACUAACUGGAGGACCGAACCGACUAAUGUUGAAAAAUUAGCGGAUGACUUGUGGCUGGGGGUGAAAGGCCAAUCAAACCGGGAGAUAGCUGGUUCUCCCCGAAAGCUAUUUAGGUAGCGCCUCGUGAAUUCAUCUUCGGGGGUAGAGCACUGUUUCGGCUAGGGGGUCAUCCCGACUUACCAACCCGAUGCAAACUACGAAUACCGAAGAAUGUUAUCACGGGAGACACACGGCGGGUGCUAACGUCCGUCGUGAAGAGGGAAACAACCCAGACCGCCAGCUAAGGUCCCAAAGUCAUGGUUAAGUGGGAAACGAUGUGGGAAGGCACAGACAGCCAGGAUGUUGGCUUAGAAGCAGCCAUCAUUUAAAGAAAGCGUAAUAGCUCACUGGUCGAGUCGGCCUGCGCGGAAGAUGUAACGGGGCUAAACCAUGCACCGAAGCUGCGGCAGCGACACUAUGUGUUGUUGGGUAGGGGAGCGUUCUGUAAGCCUGCGAAGGUGUGCUGUGAGGCAUGCUGGAGGUAUCAGAAGUGCGAAUGCUGACAUAAGUAACGAUAAAGCGGGUGAAAAGCCCGCUCGCCGGAAGACCAAGGGUUCCUGUCCAACGUUAAUCGGGGCAGGGUGAGUCGACCCCUAAGGCGAGGCCGAAAGGCGUAGUCGAUGGGAAACAGGUUAAUAUUCCUGUACUUGGUGUUACUGCGAAGGGGGGACGGAGAAGGCUAUGUUAGCCGGGCGACGGUUGUCCCGGUUUAAGCAUGUAGGCUGAUUGUCCAGGCAAAUCCGGAUAAUCAAGGCUGAGGUGUGAUGACGAGGCACUACGGUGCUGAAGUAACAAAUGCCCUGCUUCCAGGAAAAGCCUCUAAGCAUCAGGUAACAUCAAAUCGUACCCCAAACCGACACAGGUGGUCAGGUAGAGAAUACCAAGGCGCUUGAGAGAACUCGGGUGAAGGAACUAGGCAAAAUGGUGCCGUAACUUCGGGAGAAGGCACGCUGGUGUGUAGGUGAAGCCCCUGCGGGUGGAGCUGAGACCAGUCGAAGAUACCAGCUGGCUGCAACUGUUUAUUAAAAACACAGCACUGUGCAAACACGAAAGUGGACGUAUACGGUGUGACGCCUGCCCGGUGCCGGAAGGUUAAUUGAUGGGGUUAUCCGUAAGGAGAAGCUCUUGAUCGAAGCCCCGGUAAACGGCGGCCGUAACUAUAACGGUCCUAAGGUAGCGAAAUUCCUUGUCGGGUAAGUUCCGACCUGCACGAAUGGCGUAAUGAUGGCCAGGCUGUCUCCACCCGAGACUCAGUGAAAUUGAACUCGCUGUGAAGAUGCAGUGUACCCGCGGCAAGACGGAAAGACCCCGUGAACCUUUACUAUAGCUUGACACUGAACAUUGAGCCUUGAUGUGUAGGAUAGGUGGGAGGCUUUGAAGCGUGGACGCCAGUCUGCGUGGAGCCAACCUUGAAAUACCACCCUUUAAUGUUUGAUGUUCUAACGUUGGCCCCUGACCGGGGUUGCGGACAGUGUCUGGUGGGUAGUUUGACUGGGGCGGUCUCCUCCCAAAGCGUAACGGAGGAGCACGAAGGUUAGCUAAUCCUGGUCGGACAUCAGGAGGUUAGUGCAAUGGCAUAAGCUAGCUUGACUGCGAGCGUGACGGCGCGAGCAGGUGCGAAAGCAGGUCAUAGUGAUCCGGUGGUUCUGAAUGGAAGGGCCAUCGCUCAACGGAUAAAAGGUACUCCGGGGAUAACAGGCUGAUACCGCCCAAGAGUUCAUAUCGACGGCGGUGUUUGGCACCUCGAUGUCGGCUCAUCACAUCCUGGGGCUGAAGUAGGUCCCAAGGGUAUGGCUGUUCGCCAUUUAAAGUGGUACGCGAGCUGGGUUUAGAACGUCGUGAGACAGUUCGGUCCCUAUCUGCCGUGGGCGCUGGAGAAUUGAGGGGGGCUGCUCCUAGUACGAGAGGACCGGAGUGGACGCAUCACUGGUGUUCGGGUUGUCAUGCCAAUGGCACUGCCCGGUAGCUAAAUGCGGAAGAGAUAAGUGCUGAAAGCAUCUAAGCACGAAACUUGCCCCGAGAUGAGUUCUCCCUGAGACUUUAAGUCUCCUGAAGGAACGUUGAAGACGACGACGUUGAUAGGCCGGGUGUGUAAGCGCAGCGAUGCGUUGAGCUAACCGGUACUAAUGAACCGUGAGGCUUAACCU